rnacentral:rRNA from 1 species
GACGAACGCUGGCGGCGUGCCUAAUACAUGCAAGUUGAGCGCUGAAGGUUGGUACUUGUACCAACUGGAUGAGCAGCGAACGGGUGAGUAACGCGUGGGGAAUCUGCCUUUGAGCGGGGGACAACAUUUGGAAACGAAUGCUAAUACCGCAUAAAAACUUUAAACACAAGUUUUAAGUUUGAAAGAUGCAAUUGCAUCACUCAAAGAUGAUCCCGCGUUGUAUUAGCUAGUUGGUGAGGUAAAGGCUCACCAAGGCGAUGAUACAUAGCCGACCUGAGAGGGUGAUCGGCCACAUUGGGACGGAGACACGGCCCAAACUCCUACGGGAGGCAGCAGUAGGGAAUCUUCGGCAAUGGACGAAAGUCUGACCGAGCAACGCCGCGUGAGGGAAGAAGGUUGUCGGAUCGUAAAACUCGGUUGGUAGAGAAGAACGUUGGUGAGAGUGGAAAGCUCAUCAAGUGACGGUAACUACCCAGAAAGGGACGGCUAACUACGUG